UACGUAGGGGGCGAGCGUUGUCCGGAAUCAUUGGGCGUAAAGGGUGCGUAGGUGGCGGGGUAAGUCAGGUGUGAAAUCUCGGGGCUCAACCCCGAAACUGCACUUGAUACUGCCUUGCUCGAGUACUGGAGAGGAGAUUGGAAUUUACGGUGUAGCAGUGAAAUGCGUAGAUAUCGUAAGGAAGACCAGUGGCGAAGGCGAAUCUCUGGACAGUUACUGACACUGAGGCACGAAGGCCAGGGGAGCAAACGGG
rnacentral:rRNA from 1 species